GAUGGCACUCCACUCCUAGUCUUUGGUGAUUUCAACAUUCACCUAGACAAGCCUUAUGCUACAGACUUCCAUGCACUCCUAGCUUCGUUUGAUCUCAAACGCCUUACCACUACUAGCACGCACAAAUCAGGCAACCAACUUGACUUAAUUUACACACGCAAUUGUACUGCAGAUAACAUUCUGGUACAACCGCUACAUACUUCGGACCAUUUCUUCAUUACAUUUACAUUACACUUUGCUUCUCCUGUGCCACCAACCCCCCUACCAGUUACUUUUAGACGAAACCUGCGCUCCCUUUCUCCUUCCCAUCUUUCCUCUGUGGUAUCCUCCUCUCUUCCUUCACCCACCCAUUUCUCAUCUCUGGAUGUAAACGCAGCUACUGAGACUUUAUGCUCUACCUUAACCUCUUGUCUAGACGACAUUUGUCCUCUCUCCUCUAGGCCCGCACGGGCUGCUCCUUCCAACCCCUGGUUAUCCGAGGUUCUUCGUGAACAUCGGACUACACUCAGAGCGGCAGAGAGAAAAUGGCGCAAAUCAAACGAUCUGUCGGACCUCAAACGACAAACUGGAUGCUAAACAGUCAGGUUUCAGGAGGGGCCAUUCAACUGAGACUGCGCUUCUCUCGGUCACUGAAGCCCUGCGAAUUGCAAAAGCCCAUUCCAAAUCAUCAGUCCUCAUUCUGCUGGACCUAUCUGCCGCUUUUGACACUGUCAAUCAUCAGAUACUCCUGUCCACCCUCUCAUCACUGGGCAUCUCUGGCAUUCCACUUCGCUGGUUUGAAUCCUAUCUCACUGAUGAUCCAACGGUAACUGCAAGGAUCUCAGGUUGCCUGGCGGACAUCUCGGCAUGGAUGAAAGAACAUCACCUGCAGCUCAACCUGGCAAAGACUGAGCUUCUUGUCCUCCCUGCCACUCCGACUCUAC